GAUCCCUUAGCUCAGCGGUAGAGCAUCUGAUUCCAGACCUAGUGUUUCCAGAAGGUCGUCCGUUCAAUCCGGGCAGGGAUCA